GUGUCAGCAGCCGCGGUAAAACGUAGGAGGCAAGCGUUAUCCGGAGUUACUGGGCGUAAAGAGUGCGUAGGCGGAUCUGUAAGUGGGUGGUGAAAGCGCCCGGCUAAACCGGGCGAGGUCCAAUCAGACUGCAGGUCUAGAGGCGGAUAGAGGGGUGCGGAAUUCCGGGUGUAGCGGUGAAAUGUGUAGAGAUCCGGAGGAACACCAGUGGUGCAGACGGCGCCCUGGGUCCGAACUGACGCUGAAGCACGAAAGCGUGGGGAGCGAACGGGAUUAGAAACCCGCGUAGUCC
rnacentral:rRNA from 1 species